rnacentral:rRNA from 1 species
GAUGAACGCUGGCGGCGUGCCUAACACAUGCAAGUCGAACGGAGUCGUUUUGGAAAUCUCUUCAGAGAUGGAAUUCUCGACUUAGUGGCGGACGGGUGAGUAACGCGUGAGCAAUCUGCCUUUAAGAGGGGGAUAACAGUCGGAAACGGCUGCUAAUACCGCAUAAAGCAUUAAAUUCGCAUGUUUUUGAUGCCAAAGGAGCAAUCCGCUUUUAGAUGAGCUCGCGUCUGAUUAGCUAGUUGGCGGGGUAACGGCCCACCAAGGCGACGAUCAGUAGCCGGACUGAGAGGUUGAACGGCCACAUUGGGACUGAGACACGGCCCAGACUCCUACGGGAGGCAGCAGUGGGGAAUAUUGCGCAAUGGGGGAAACCCUGACGCAGCAACGCCGCGUGAUUGAAGAAGGCCUUCGGGUUGUAAAGAUCUUUAAUCAGGGACGAAACAAAUGACGGUACCUGAAGAAUAAGCUCCGGCUAACUACGUG